rnacentral:piRNA from 1 species
UGACAAAGCACGUUUCAGAUGCAGGUGGUU